AGUUUUAUAUUCAAUUAAUGAUAUUAAAUUGCAAAUUUAAAGGAACAAGAUUUUGUUAAAACUU
rnacentral:tRNA from 1 species